UCGAGUUCCAAUACCCUCCGAAGAAGGACGAUGCAGUCAAUAUGAUUUGGAGACAGUUACGGCACAAACUUCCUGCAAUCAAGCUUUCUGUACACAGAAAUAGGAGGCUCAAAAUACCAGAUUGGUGGUGAUAUUUGUUUAAAAACCUGCAUUUGCCACUUGAAUAUUCAUAGUUAAAUUUUUGCAAAUGCAAGUACAUAGAUAGCAUUCUAGGUACACGGCAGGACACUACUAGACAUUAUGAUAAAUAAAAUUUUUGCUACUUGCUCUUUACUUCUUUUUAAUAUUGUCGAGUACAGCCUAUCAAAUAUGCCAAGAUAGUUGAAACUAAAAACAUGAAAGAAUUUGACCCGGGAGGCUGUUCGGGUCAUGGAUCCGGAUGAUGCUGACUUGUUCUUUGUGCCUUUUUUCUCUUCGCUCAGUUUUAAUAUUCAUGGCCUCAAUAUGAGUGAUCCAAAUACUGUUGAUCAGAAGUUGCAGGUACACAUAGUUUAAUUUAAAUUUCUUCUUAUUAUUGGAUAAUCUGUUUGUUUGUUGUAUACAUAAUUCAAAUUAAGAUUACUCUUGUGCAUUUCUUGAAUUAACCAUAGAGAAUGCUUCGUCAUUGGAUAACUGAAUGUGAAAUUGAGUCUCUUUGUGAUGGGUUUUGCAUUGCUCAUGAAUUUGCUUCACUGUACUUGUUCUUGAAAUCCUGCAAAUUUGAAUAUUUAAAGAACACUGACCAUCCGAAAUUAAUUUUUGAAUUUUCUUGUUUCAGAUAGAAUCCCUUUCAGAUUGUCCAUAUAUUCACUAGUAAGCUUAAGUAUUGGGCUUGUUAUUAGUUAAUAAGAUGUAACUAGGAUGUACUUUUUCUGUAUGACUUGUGACUACUUCACGCUAAUUUUACAAUUGGGGGUGAUGCUUUACUGAUGUCCUUUCAACUCCUUAAUUCAUCUUUUCGCUUGUUUACAGCUCAAAACUUAACAAAUUUUGCCUUCUGAUGGUUAAAUCAAAGAGGUGGUAAAUGCUACCAUGUUAUUUAUUUUACUUUAUUCUGUUUAUUUCUUGGAUAAGUUUUUAGCACUUUUGGCAUAUUUUGUCAGGAGUAUGGAUAUGGGAAAAUAUAGUUCAUUUUAUUGCCCACUCUUGUUGAGUAACAUAUGCCCAACAUUCACCUUUGUAAUCUCCUUGAUUACAUUAUAGCACAAAAACUUCACCCGCAAAUAGAUUUGGCUCUCACAUUGAGGCUGAACCACAAUAAACCUAUAUAUUUGCUGUGGGUAUUUCUGAUUUCAUUAUGUUUAUUGUUGCUCUAGGAGUUAGUGAUUUAGGUUUAAAUCAUUACAAAGUUUUAAUUGUUUGCUUACGAUGGAACCAAUUUAUUGCUCUGAAUGAUGGAUGGAUGGAAUGAACAAAUACUAAUGUAUUUAUGGAUUCCACCAAAAGUCUUUUUCUCAUUCUAAAGAGUUGAUCAUCAAUGCUUCUUAUUGCAGCGUGAUAUGGUCAAAAUCUUAAGAUCGUCCAAUCAGUGGAUAAAAUCUGGCGGACGAGACCAUAUAAUCCCCUUGCAUCAUCCAAAUGCUUUCAGACAUUAUCGUGAUAAGGUGAAUUCUUCCAUAUUCAUCAUUGCUGAUUUCGGUCGCACAAUGAACAUAGCUAAACUUGCAAAAGAUGUCGUCGCCCCUUAUGCACACAUGGUGGAAUCAUAUUUCAAUGAUGAUGAAGAGGACCCGUACGAUACUCGUAAGACACUUCUCUUCUUCCGUGGGAGGACUAAAAGGAAAGAGGUACGCCAAUCUAACAGAAAGGAUCAUAUCAGUACUUUUACUUCAUGUAAUAAAGUAUUUUUCUGACAUGUUGAUGUUUGCAGGAGGGAAAGGUUCGUAUGAAACUGCACAAGAUGUUAGUUGGAACACCGGAUGUCAUAUACGAGGAGGGCGAUGCAUCAGAAGAAGGUUUUAAAACUGUAAGUUUCUAGUGAUUAUCUCUGUUCUGCAAAUAUAAAAUGGAUUUUAGGCUGCAUUAUUUUAUUUCAAUAAUGAUAUCUACUACGCCAUUGCACUGUCUAAUCCAUAUAUUCUUCUCAAUGCACUAGUGAUUUUCACUUUUUAUUUGCAGUCUCUGUCACUAACCUCUGCUUUUGCUUUUCUUCACCUUUAUUCUCUAUAUGCUUGCAUUUAACAUCUGCAUUCACUUGGCUUUUUAACUCAGUACUGAUAUUGUGACGUUGUGAACAAACAUUGUGUUUAUUUUCAAGAAUCUCCUAUAAUUGUUAAAUCAGAUUUGCGGAUUUGUCUCAUACAUCUUGCAUUUCUUGCUCAAAUUAGUCCACUGAAGGAAUGCGUUCGUCUAAGUUCUGUCUGCAUCCUGCUGGGGAUACUCCAUCAUCUUGUCGUCUGUUUGAUGCUAUAGUGAGCCACUGCAUUCCUGUUAUUGUGAGUGACAGAAUCGAGCUACCCUUUGAAAAUGAACUCGACUACAAGGAGUUCUCAAUCUUCUUUUCAGUUAACGAGGCAUUGACACCAUCCUAUAUGCUCACUCGGCUCAGGGGGAUUACCGAACAUGAAUGGAUGAAAAUGUGGAGACAGCUUAAAAGCAUUUCUCAUCACUUCGAGUUCCAAUACCCUCCGAAGAAGGACGAUGCAGUCAAUAUGAUUUGGAGACAGUUACGGCACAAACUUCCUGCAAUCAAGCUUUCUGUACACAGAAAUAGGAGGCUCAAAAUACCAGAUUGGUGGUGAUAUUUGUUUAAAAACCUGCAUUUGCCACUUGAAUAUUCAUAGUUAAAUUUUUGCAAAUGCAAGUACAUAGAUAGCAUUCUAGGUACACGGCAGGACACUACUAGACAUUAUGAUAAAUAAAAUUUUUGCUACUUGCUCUUUACUUCUUUUUAAUAUUGUCG
rnacentral:lncRNA from 1 species